rnacentral:lncRNA from 1 species
GGAUCUCUUGCACAGGAUUGCUUGCUUCUGGAGAGGCCAGCAUGGGUCCCAGAAAUAAGAAUGGGGAAGGACUAGGUGCCCUGGGGAGAGCCAUACUUGGACCCUGUGUUCUAGGAAACCCAUUGGCUGUAUUCAGUACAAGCUGCCUCUGUAUGAGGGAGAGGACCCUGGUAUGUUCCUCACAUGUGAGUAUCUGGGUUCCAAUUCUUAUUUCAGUAAAGGCCCAGCGGGAGAUGGACUUCUCACAUGGCUGUGUUGUCCACAGGGUGGAGGCAUGUCAUCUACAUCCAUUUCCUGCCUGGGAAGAAGUCUGCCAUUGCCUACUUCAGGGGCAACAUGAACUAUCAGUACUACCAGAUGAUGAUGUUCAUGGGUUCCCAUUGUGGCCCAUUUAUCACUGUGGACAUUGGGCAGCACGAGCAGUCGUCAUGGUAGGAGGGGUUGCAGCAUUCAGAGGUGGAUGA